GGGUGUGGUCCUUAUCCACUUGCUUGUCGGAUAGCUGCCAAGUUUAAAUGACACACUUCAUUUUAGUAUGCUGAAAACAGAAAAGAGCAAGGACAAACCAGGAGUGCCACUUGGACUUACUACCAUUGUAGAACAUUCCUGAAAGCACCAAGGAUGCCAAAACUUGAGCUGUAUUUUCAAAGGUUUACUCUGUAUUGUUGGAUGCAGACCAUAAAGGAAUAAGGGUAACAACAAGGAGACCAGUUCAAACAUGGAGGCCAACAUCAAACAUGCUGGGAGCUUAACCUAAGAUGCCCACAGCCUAUUUGUGUAUUGCUUGGUCCAGCAAGGUAAUUCUCCUGGCAGUGUCUCAAUCAAUUACCAUUUUGGAUGGUGGAUGAAAGCUUUACUGGGCUGAACGCUGAA
rnacentral:lncRNA from 1 species